NNNNNNNNNNNNNNNNNNNNNNNNNNNNCUCUGCGCAGAGCCGCUCCCUGGGGACCGCCGGGUGGGGGGGCGAGCCUGGACGCGCUGAGGUUCCACGAGGCAGGAUGUACCGUGGUUCCCGAAGUGCGGGUUUCCUUAUCUGUCCUCUUGACGGACCUCUGGGCUGUUCCAGUCUCUUGCGACAGAGCGUCCGGAAACACUCCUGCCGCGGCCUCGCGGGCAGGUGCGCUCCAGCCCAGCCUGGGGCUUGAACUCAGGAUCCUGAGAUCAAGGGUGGCAGGCCCUACCAACAGAGCCAGCCGGGUGCCCCUGUAUUUAGGAUGGAAAUCCUGUAUCAGACACAUGUAAAACAUAUACUUUUUCACUGAAUGGGGCAUAUGUGUUUCAAAUAACGGUGCUUCUGGGGCGCCGGAGUUGCUGAGUGGGUUAAGCAUCUGCUUGGGCUCAGGUCAUGAUCCUGGGAUCCUGGGACUGAAUUCUACAUUGGGCUGUUCCUCUGCGGGGAGCCUGCUUCUUUCCUCUCCCUCUGCUCCUCCUGCUUUCUCUCUGUCAAAUAAAUAAAGUCUUUAAAAAUGAUAAUAAUAAAAAAUAAAAAGUAAAAUAAUGGUGCUCU
rnacentral:lncRNA from 1 species